rnacentral:rRNA from 1 species
UACGAAGGGGGCUAGCGUUGCUCGGAAUUACUGGGCGUAAAGCGCACGUAGGCGGAUCUUUAAGUCAGGGGUGAAAUCCUGGAGCUCAACUCCAGAACUGCCUUUGAUACUGAGGACCUUGAGUUCGGGAGAGGUGAGUGGAACUGCGAGUGUAGAGGUGAAAUUCGUAGAUAUUCGCAAGAACACCAGUGGCGAAGGCGGCUCACUGGCCCGAUACUGACGCUGAGGUGCGAAAAGCGUGGGGGAGCAAACAGG